rnacentral:rRNA from 1 species
UUAUACCUACGGGGGGCAGCAGUGAGGGAUAUUGGUCAAUGGCCGCAGGGCUGAACCAGCCAAGUCGCGUGAGGGAAGACGGUCCUAUGGAUUGUAAACCUCUUUUGUCGGGGAGCAAAAGACGCCACGCGUGGCGUUCCGAGAGUACCCGAAGAAAAAGCAUCGGCUAACUCCGUGCCAGCAGCCGCGGUAAUACGGAGGAUGCGAGCGUUAUCCGGCUUUAUUGGUUUUAACGGGUGCGCAGGCGGAAUGUCAAGUCAGCGGUAAA